GCAGUCGCAGCUUAGAACUGCUCGUUGACCUACCUUAACCCAACCCCGGAAAUAACGUACCGGUCUUCGGGAUCGAAAUCGGAAGUUGACUAGAAAGUCAGCUGAUUCCGUCCCUUCUAGGGCACCGGGUUGGCUAGGCAGCCAUCUUGUCCGAGGUUAAUUUGUGAGCGUCUGUGAGAAAAGGACCAAAAAGGGGGACAAGGGGCAGCAUUUUUACGUUGAAACAGAAAAGAAUGAAGACGUUUAGCGUAGAGGACCCUGAAGGGAAUAGUUCGGCUUCAGUGGGUUAUGACCCUCUGGAGUCAUCAUCACGAUUUAACAACUGCGAUGUGGUGGCGUCAUCACCUAGCGCUACCAGAGGUUCCAUGGACUCCCAGAACAAAAUGCAAAUUGGGAUUCUCUGCACUCUGCCUCCACUUCUGAGAACCCUUCUGGAGUUCGGCUUAAAUUAUGCUAGCACCCACUGUGCUGUACUUUGAAAGACUUGCAGCAACUACCUCAUCCAGGAUUAGCCAGUUCGGUUUCCAUGAGACUUUGGAAUUGGGACACAAGAUACUAGUCCAUCUCUGCUGAUCACUUGAAGAGAAAAUGUGAACUUGCUAGGUGUGCACUUAGAAGCAGGAAAACUUGUUUUCAGAGGGAGCAGCAGCAGCAGCUGAUAAGCAUUACCUGGCAAGAUGAGCAGAAGCAUGACUGAAAACAGUGGCUUCGGUUCCUGAUGGCAUUCCAAUCCUCAUCCCAGUGCCUCUUCAAGCCCAACUGUUUGGCCUUUAUGAGACGAAUACACCUAUUCCUUUUAAUUAGUUGUCCUAUUACUAUUAAACUAGCUGUGAGGGUGUCUGUUCCGUGCAAUGAAGGAAUCUCUAGAGAGAGAAGAGGGCCCUCAUCAGUGCUGCUGUGCACAGGAUCUUUCUGGCAAGUUUUCAGAACACUACCAAUGAUAAACCAAAGAUGGAGAUGGGAAGAAUGGGACACGUUGAUGAAGAUAUUUUUAUAACUGGUAACAAAUUCCUCUGGAAAUAAACCUGACAUGUAGUCUUUUAGAUGGAAGCUAGGAAGGGGACACCUGACAGCUGACUGGAGUCACUGAGCCACUUGUAAACAUCUGCUUUUUUCGUUAAAACUCAUGAUCAUCAUUGGGGAGGUGCAGCCCACGUGGAAGGAUUCAUUUUGGCCACUUCUGAGAGAGAAGGAAAUUCCUAAAAUGAAGGGCUUUGCCUGUGUUACACGGAAGUCACUAGAAGAGAGGAAGGCUGUUCGGGAGCAGUUCUAGUUCAGUGUGGCAACAGCAUGGCGACCAGUGGGGAAAAACAGUUUUCUAUCUGGGAGUAAGAAACAUAGGCCACUGAACUCUCAUUUGGCCACAUGUGUAUUCACUGGCUUGGUGGC